ACAGAGGAUGUGCUCCUUCUCACCCAGUGUACAAACUGGAGAUAACCAAGUUCUGCCUCAUGUUCUGCGUUCUCAAGAUGCUAAGAAUGGAGAACUCAGAGAAGGAAGGGAUGAAUACCGCCUACUACCCAUUGGCUAUUACAUCCUGUCCCCUUCUGCAAAGGUUGUCAAAUCCGUUCUUCAUUCUCCAUUGCCUUGCCAUGGUCCAAGUUCAGAGUCUUAUCAUCUCCACCCCUGGAUACUCCUGGAUCUCCACCCCCACCCCACUGCUGGAAAUACUAGCCGUGUCUCCCAUCUGAAUGUAUCAUUCCAGGUGCAACAGGAAUAAGUCUCUGCUCCUCCAUCCUUCUAGGUGAAAUGGCUGUCUGCCUUCCAUUCCCAAUAGCAGACUUCAGUCUCUGAGGGAGGCAUUUGCCUUCUUAUAGUCAGUCACUUAUGGACCUAUCUAUCCAGAAAGACUCUGAGCCACUUGAAGAUAAUGACUGUUUGCGCUUCCUGUGCUUAGCAUAUAUUAGAUACUCAACAAA
ensembl:lncRNA